AAAGUUGUAAAGAAGAUACCUGGAGGACCGCAGUGCUUAUCGUACAGAGCUAUGGAUCUAGACAAAGAAAAAAUACAUAUAAUUUUCUACUCAGAUGCAAGUGUUGGUAACCUGUUUACAGAGUCAGGUAAUCAGGCAGAUAGUGGACGUGGAUACUUGGUGUUUGUCUCUAAUGGCAAGACAGCAAAUCUUGUGGACUGGUCAAGCAGGAAGAUUAAAAGAGUGGUACAUUCAGCUUUUGCUGCAGAGACACUAGCCUGUAACGACGGUAUGGGAGCAGCCAUCUAUGUGAGACAAAUUCUCUCUGAGAUUUUGUAUGGAGACCCCAAGCUAAGGGUCAUUCCUAUCCAUGGUUUUAUAGACUCAAACCAACUAUUACAAAGCAUACAGUCUACCAAGCAGUGUGAAGAGAAAAGGCUCCGAUUGGAUGUGUCGGAAAUUCAGGAAUGUGUCGAGCGUGGGGAUAUUGAAUCUAUUACCUGGGUACCCACACAGAAAAUGCUAGCAGAUUGCCUUACUAAAAAAGGUGCCAACUCUGAGGAUCUUUGUAGAGUUAUAGAGACCGGACUGUUCCAGAACUCUCAGUUUUAACCAAAGACCUGAGCUUAUACUCAGGAGUGUCAAAGAACCAAAGACCUGAGCUUAUACUCAGGAGUGUCAAAGCACCAUUCAUGUCAUUUUAAUUACCAACACGUGUAAUGUAAUUUACCAAUUUGUGUCAUUUUAUUAAUAAUUACUUUAACAGAUUUGUUUUACAAGAAUUUAUUUAUAGUUUUGUAUUGUAGUUCAAAACUACAACUUUUAACGGGAAUUUUAUAUACUUUUUACGUGCAUAUUUAAAAGCUUAUUUUAAUAUUCAUGUAUAUUUUCAAUUUUGUAACCUGUUUAACAGCGAGUGUUUUGACAGGGAAAUUUGUAAUAUUUCAAACAUCACCUGUUAUGAUGUUGAUAACUGCAGUGUGGCAGUGUUUCCUAACAGUUAGAUUUUAAAAUUUUAGAAAGUUGGGUAUUUUAAACUAAGAAAAUUGGAUACAUUCACUGUGUAAAGUUAACCUCAUUUACGUAUUUUCCUAUAAUUUUAACCCCGAAUUACAGAUCCCUAUCUUCAUGAACGGAAACUUUUUAAACUUUCAGGUCGAGUAUAUGAUCUCGAACUGGUAACUAUUAACAACAAAUUUUCAGUGCCAAAGUCCUAUCUCCUAACAUCACUUUAUUAUUAUUUUUUCGCAGUUAAUUUCUUGUCAGUUAGUCAGUACCUGUCAGUAUCAAUUUUAACACUGCUAACAAAUAGAUCAAUUCAUAUAAAAUAUAAAUAUCGAGUGUGCAUGUUAAGAUAUUGUUAAAGCUGUUGAUUAGUUUGUAUCUUACUGGAAAACUGAGUUUUAGAAACAGUUGAGCAAUAACCUAUAUUUUGAUUGUUACAGUUGGUGGAAGCCUUUUUCCAGUUCAACUAAGAGAGGUUUUGCUAAACUGUCGGCUUAUUCUUCGGAAUAUUGACCUAGCUCCAGUUUAAUCAGUUUUCUAGUAAAAUUCUAACACAGCAAUUUCUCAAGAAAUACGGUAUGUUUUAAAAGGGAGUUUCGGUGAAAACACCAAUUUUAAUCGUAAGUUAUGAUUUUGCAGAAUUCUGCAGUAUUAUGGGGUACUUUGAAUUUUGUAAAUCUGAUAAUUUUUGAUUCAGAUGAUUGAGACGGAAGUUUUAAAAUGACGUGGAUUUUAAACGAUUUUUUAAGUAGACCUUUUUCCUUUGUGAGAGGAAAAUUUUACUUAUUACUAGCAAAAUUUGAGAUUUAGAACGGCGCGGCGUGUUGUGCACGACAGUUCUUUUUGUAUUUUGGUGGAUCGGUUUUCGGGCAUUUUUAAAAAAAAAAAUUUUAAAAUUGGGAUGAGUGUUAUAAUAUAUGAGUUCUAAGAUUAUUCUUUGUAUUAUAAAUAUAUAUUAUAGCUAAUGUGAGAAGGUGUCACGGUGAAGAAGAGGUAAAGAAGAGAUCCAACGAGGAAGGAGUAACAGAAGGUGUGUUAGAGUAACAGUGCUGUGUAGAAGGUGUACCAGCCUGCGAAGUCCUUCGUGGAUAGUGUAGUAGAACACCGGUGUUUUUAGUGUGUGUGUAGUAUUGUAGUGGAGUGUGGAACGAAGAUAAGAAGAUAUAGUAAACAGUAGCUAGGAGUGUAAGUAGUAGUCAACUAGAAGAAAGAAGAUAGUAACGAAGAAGUGUAAUUUGUAUAAACAUAGUUUUAGUAAUAUAUUUUAGUAGGAAGUAAAGACUUUUAGUUCGGAUAUUAUUUGGUGAUAUUUUAGUGUAGUAGUUUUAGUAAGUAGUUAGUUAGUAGUUAGUUUAUAGUGGGAAUCGGGUACAGGUCUAGGGAGGUUAGUGAGUAAGUGAAUUAUUAUAAUAUCUAGUGUUAAUUUAUUAACACCUUCUAUUUCAGUUUAUUUAUUAUAA